rnacentral:rRNA from 1 species
UUCCAGACUCCUACGGGAGGCAGCAGUGGGGGAUAUUGCACAAUGGGGGAAACCCUGAUGCAGCGACGCCGUGUGAGUGAAGAAGUAUUUCGGUAUGUAAAGCUCUAUCAGCAGGGAAGAAGAAAUGACGGUACCUGACUAAGAAGCCCCGGCUAACUACGUGCCAGCAGCCGCGGUAAUACGUAGGGGGCAAGCGUUAUCCGGAUUUACUGGGUGUAAAGGGAGCGUAGACGGCAAGGCAAGUCUGGAGUGAAAGCCCGUGGCCCAACCACGGGACUGCUUUGGAAACUGUGUUGCUGGAGUGCAGGAGGGGUAAGCGGAAUUCCUAGUGUAGCGGUGAAAUGCGUAGAUAUUAGGAGGAACACCGGUGGCGAAGGCGGCUUACUGGACUGUAACUGACGUUGAGGCUCGAAGGCGUGGGGAGCAAACAGGAUUAGAUACCCCGGUAC